AUAAUAAUAAUACACUUAAUUUUUCAGGAAUUAAAUAUUCUUGCCGAAAAACAUUCUGAUGCCCAGAAAACUAAAAGUUCACUUAAUGAUCAAUUAAUUCAAAAUAAUGCAAUACAAGAAACACAUAAGGAAAUAAAUAUUUUUUCAAAAAAUCAAAUAAAGUUACUAGGCCUUGUUUCAAUAUUCUUAAGCAUUCAUCCUUUUGGAACUUGUAUCGAAAAUGUUGUAAGCUAUAUUAGAAAUGUAGA